UUCUCUCAAGGACAAGCUGUGAUGGGGAGCGAAAUUUAGUAGCGAAGUUCCUGAUGUCACACUGCCAAGAAAAGCUUCUAGUGAGAAAGUAACUGCCCGUACCGCAAACCGACACAGGUAGUUGAGGAGAGAAUCCUAAGGUGUGCGAGAGAACUCUCGUUAAGGAACUCGGCAAAAUGACCCCGUAACUUCGGGAGAAGGGGUGCUGACCGCAAGGUCAGCCGCAGUGAAUAGGCCCAAGCGACUGUUUAUCAAAAACACAGGUCUCUGCAAAAUCGAAAGAUGACGUAUAGGGGCUGACGCCUGCCCGGUGCUGGAAGGUUAAGAGGAGAGGUUAGCGCAAGCGAAGCUUUGAAUUGAAGCCCCAGUAAACGGCGGCCGUAACGAUAACGGUCCUAAGGUAGCGAAAUUCCUUGUCGGGUAAGUUCCGACCCGCACGAAAGGCGUAACGAUUUGGGCACUGUCUCAACGAGAGACUCGGUGAAAUUAUAGUACCAGUGAAGAUGCUGGUUACCCGCGACAGGACGGAAAGACCCCAUGGAGCUUUACUGCAGUUUGAUAUUGCGUGUUUGUAUCACAUGUACAGGAUAGGUAGGAGUCGAAGAUACCGGGACGCCAGUCUCGGAGGAGGCAACGGUGGGAUACUACCCUUGUGAUAUGACCACUCUAACCCGCUGCUCUUAGCGAGCAGGGAGACAGUGUCAGACGGGCAGUUUGACUGGGGCGAUCGCCUCCAAAAAUGUAACGGAGGCGCCCAAAGGUUCCCUCAGAAUGGUUGGAAAUCAUUCGUAGAGUGUAAAGGCAGAAGGGAGCUUGACUGCGAGACCUACAAGUCGAGCAGGGACGAAAGUCGGGCUUAGUGAUCCGGUGGUUCCGCAUGGAAGGGCCAUCGCUCAACGGAUAAAAGCUACCCUGGGGAUAACAGGCUUAUCUCCCCCAAGAGUUCACAUCGACGGGGAGGUUUGGCACCUCGAUGUCGGCUCAUCGCAUCCUGGGGCUGUAGUCGGUCCCAAGGGUUGGGCUGUUCGCCCAUUAAAGCGGUACGCGAGCUGGGUUCAGAACGUCGUGAGACAGUUCGGUCCCUAUCCGUCGCGGGCGUUGGAAAUUUGAGAGGAGCUGUCCUUAGUACGAGAGGACCGGGAUGGACACACCGCUGGUGUACCAGUUGUUCUGCCAAGAGCAUCGCUGGGUAGCUAUGUGUGGACGGGAUAAACGCUGAAAGCAUCUAAGCGUGAAGCCCCCCUCAAGAUGAGAUUUCCCAUCACUUCAAGUGAGUAAGACCCCUGAGAGAUGAUCAGGUAGAUAGGUUGGGAGUGGAAGUACAGCGAUGUAUGGAGCGGACCAAUACUAAUCGGUCGAGGACUUAAUCAA
rnacentral:rRNA from 1 species